rnacentral:rRNA from 1 species
UUAAGCGACUAAGCGUACACGGUGGAUGCCCUGGCAGUCAGAGGCGAUGAAGGACGUGCUAAUCUGCGAUAAGCGUCGGUAAGGUGAUAUGAACCGUUAUAACCGGCGAUUUCCGAAUGGGGAAACCCAGUGUGAUUCGUCACACUAUCAUUAACUGAAUCCAUAGGUUAAUGAGGCGAACCGGGGGAACUGAAACAUCUAAGUACCCCGAGGAAAGAAAUCAACCGAGAUUCCCCAGUAGCGGCGAGCGAACGGGGAGGAGCCCAGAGCCUGAAUCAGUGUGUGUGUUAGUGGAAGCGUCUGGAAAGGCGCGCGAUACAGGGUGACAGCCCCGUACACAAAAAUGCACAUGCUGUGAGCUCGAUGAGUAGGGCGGGACACGUGGUAUCCUGUCUGAAUAUGGGGGGACCAUCCUCCAAGGCUAAAUACUCCUGACUGACCGAUAGUGAACCAGUACCGUGAGGGAAAGGCGAAAAGAACCCCGGCGAGGGGAGUGAAAAAGAACCUGAAACCGUGUACGUACAAGCAGUGGGAGCCUCUUUAUGGGGUGACUGCGUACCUUUUUGUAUAAUGGGUCAGCGACUUAUAUUCUGUAGCAAGGUUAACCGAAUAGGGGAGCCGAAGGGAAACCGAGUCUUAACUGGGCGUUAAGUUGCAGGGUAUAGACCCGAAACCCGGUGAUCUAGCCAUGGGCAGGUUGAAGGUUGGGUAACACUAACUGGAGGACCGAACCGACUAAUGUUGAAAAAUUAGCGGAUGACUUGUGGCUGGGGGUGAAAGGCCAAUCAAACCGGGAGAUAGCUGGUUCUCCCCGAAAGCUAUUUAGGUAGCGCCUCGUGAAUUCAUCUCCGGGGGUAGAGCACUGUUUCGGCAAGGGGGUCAUCCCGACUUACCAACCCGAUGCAAACUGCGAAUACCGGAGAAUGUUAUCACGGGAGACACACGGCGGGUGCUAACGUCCGUCGUGAAGAGGGAAACAACCCAGACCGCCAGCUAAGGUCCCAAAGUCAUGGUUAAGUGGGAAACGAUGUGGGAAGGCCCAGACAGCCAGGAUGUUGGCUUAGAAGCAGCCAUCAUUUAAAGAAAGCGUAAUAGCUCACUGGUCGAGUCGGCCUGCGCGGAAGAUGUAACGGGGCUAAACCAUGCACCGAAGCUGCGGCAGCGACACUAUGUGUUGUUGGGUAGGGGAGCGUUCUGUAAGCCUGCGAAGGUGUACUGUGAGGUAUGCUGGAGGUAUCAGAAGUGCGAAUGCUGACAUAAGUAACGAUAAAGCGGGUGAAAAGCCCGCUCGCCGGAAGACCAAGGGUUCCUGUCCAACGUUAAUCGGGGCAGGGUGAGUCGACCCCCUAAGGCGAGGCCGAAAGGCGUAGUCGAUGGGAAACAGGUUAAUAUUCCUGUACUUGGUGUUACUGCGAAGGGGGGACGGAGAAGGCUAUGUUGGCCGGGCGACGGUUGUCCCGGUUUAAGCGUGUAGGCUGGUUUUCCAGGCAAAUCCGGAAAAUCAAGGCUGAGGCGUGAUGACGAGGCACUACGGUGCUGAAGCAACAAAUGCCCUGCUUCCAGGAAAAGCCUCUAAGCAUCAGGUAACAUCAAAUCGUACCCCAAACCGACACAGGUGGUCAGGUAGAGAAUACCAAGGCGCUUGAGAGAACUCGGGUGAAGGAACUAGGCAAAAUGGUGCCGUAACUUCGGGAGAAGGCACGCUGAUAUGUAGGUGAAGUCCCUCGCGGAUGGAGCUGAAAUCAGUCGAAGAUACCAGCUGGCUGCAACUGUUUAUUAAAAACACAGCACUGUGCAAACACGAAAGUGGACGUAUACGGUGUGACGCCUGCCCGGUGCCGGAAGGUUAAUUGAUGGGGUUAGCGGUAACGCGAAGCUCUUGAUCGAAGCCCCGGUAAACGGCGGCCGUAACUAUAACGGUCCUAAGGUAGCGAAAUUCCUUGUCGGGUAAGUUCCGACCUGCACGAAUGGCGUAAUGAUGGCCAGGCUGUCUCCACCCGAGACUCAGUGAAAUUGAACUCGCUGUGAAGAUGCAGUGUACCCGCGGCAAGACGGAAAGACCCCGUGAACCUUUACUAUAGCUUGACACUGAACAUUGAGCCUUGAUGUGUAGGAUAGGUGGGAGGCUUUGAAGUGUGGACGCCAGUCUGCAUGGAGCCGACCUUGAAAUACCACCCUUUAAUGUUUGAUGUUCUAACGUUGGCCCCUAAUCGGGGUUGCGGACAGUGUCUGGUGGGUAGUUUGACUGGGGCGGUCUCCUCCUAAAGAGUAACGGAGGAGCACGAAGGUUGGCUAAUCCUGGUCGGACAUCAGGAGGUUAGUGCAAUGGCAUAAGCCAGCUUGACUGCGAGCGUGACGGCGCGAGCAGGUGCGAAAGCAGGUCAUAGUGAUCCGGUGGUUCUGAAUGGAAGGGCCAUCGCUCAACGGAUAAAAGGUACUCCGGGGAUAACAGGCUGAUACCGCCCAAGAGUUCAUAUCGACGGCGGUGUUUGGCACCUCGAUGUCGGCUCAUCACAUCCUGGGGCUGAAGUAGGUCCCAAGGGUAUGGCUGUUCGCCAUUUAAAGUGGUACGCGAGCUGGGUUUAGAACGUCGUGAGACAGUUCGGUCCCUAUCUGCCGUGGGCGCUGGAGAACUGAGGGGGGCUGCUCCUAGUACGAGAGGACCGGAGUGGACGCAUCACUGGUGUUCGGGUUGUCAUGCCAAUGGCACUGCCCGGUAGCUAAAUGCGGAAGAGAUAAGUGCUGAAAGCAUCUAAGCACGAAACUUGCCCCGAGAUGAGUUCUCCCUGACUCCCUGAGAGUCCUGAAGGAACGUUGAAGACGACGACGUUGAUAGGCCGGGUGUGUAAGCGCAGCGAUGCGUUGAGCUAACCGGUACUAAUGAACCGUGAGGCUUAACCU